UGCCAGCCCUAAACUUAGAUAGCAAACUACUACCAUAUCCGCCAGAGAACUACAAGCAAAAUACUUAAAACUCAAAGGACUUGGCGGCAUUCCAUAUCAACCUAGAGGAGCCCGUCCAAUAAUCGAUAAUACGCGCUCAACCCAACCAUUUUUGGCCACUCCAGCCUAUAUACCGCCGUCGUCAGCUAACCUUGUGAAAGAAAAGUAGUAAGCACAACAGCCAUCGCUAAAACGUCAGGUCAAGGUGUAGCUAAUAAAAUGGGUGUGAUAGGCUACAUUUUCUAUUAUAGAAAAAACGGAAAAUACAAUGAAACCUUGUAAUAGAAGGUGAAUUUAGAAGUAAACUAAGAAAGGAUCCUUAAUUUAACAUCGCCCUGGAAUGCGCACACACCGCCCGUCACCCUCCUCAAAAAAAUCAGAUGAGGCAAGUCGUAACAUGGUAAGCGUACUGGAAAGUGCGCUUGGAUUA
rnacentral:rRNA from 1 species